rnacentral:lncRNA from 1 species
UUAUCUGAACUCCAAGGAGUCCAGGGACUACCAACUGUUGGAGAGUGACACACAAAACGGAAGUUCGUCUCGGAAGAGGAACGCGCAGUUGAGUCCAGAGGUGUCAUUUAGUGAUUCAAACUACAGAAGCUGUGGUAAUGCUUCGGCACAAAAGAAUGCAGCCAAAAGAAUUGGGUUUGUCGAAAGCAAUAUGCGUACUAGAGAUGCAUUAGGUUCUAGAUUCUUAAAUAGUGGCAACUCCAGCAGGAAGGCUGAGUUAACAACAUUGUCUUCCUUGGAGCAAGUUGAAUUGGGUAUGACCAGAACUACUGAUCAAGAACUUAUAAUUUCUGGUUCUAGAAGCCUUGUUAGCGGCACAGGGUUCGAGAAGCAUGGUCCUUGCUCAGGAAAAAGUAGGCAGUAUGGCUGGAAGGUCAGG